ensembl:lncRNA
UAGCAAGAAAGAUGCCGAAAAACAACCAUGACACCAGAUGAUGAUCAUUUGCAAUGUCAAGUUAGAUUUUGCCAUGCAGAGACUUUUAUCAAUACAAAGCUUUUAUCAAUACAAAGUAAUUAAAUUAUAAUAUAUAAAGACAUCUAUAUCUGUAUCAAGACAUAGGCUUUCGCUGAAGAAAUAGAAGGCCUAAGUGACUGAUCAACACUGUUAGGGAUGGCCUUUUUUUCUGCAUUAUGAUUUGGAUUUAUGUAGCUUGUUAAUACAUUUGUUGAAUUAGGUUACUGUUGCGAGUGAAUAGUGGUGAAUUGAAAAAAAACAUAUCCAGAGGGGGGUGAUUUCACAGAGAGAUGGGAUGGUCGUUGUUGAGGAAGACCUGGAGGCUAUGCCCAAGAUGGAGUCCAACAUAAGAGGAAAAGUAGUGGUAAGAAGUUAGGGGGAACAUGCCACUAACAAAAAUACAGAUAAAACCACACUGGAUCCUUUACAAAGCUUUAUACUCUACAGUUUUAUUUCCUCUGAUUUCUUUGUUUGCCACUGGAUUUACAGCACAUGCACACAGUUGACACAUACAUGUUUUUGGCAUGCAAAAUUAUACAGGCUAUAUCACGUCAUGUAUCAAUCAGCUUAUUUAUUGGUAGAAAAUUAUGUAAACAGAGAAAGCUUGUUCCCAGACCCAUCUGACCAAUUGAGUUGUCUGCAUUAUGGAUUUACAAUACCUAGGUUAGUAAAAAUUCUAUCUUGGAGGGCAAAGCCAGGCUUUGUAAAUUUGGGCCUGGAUAGAGGAACAGUCAUGUACCUUUUUUACCACACAGUAACAAACACAAUGUUUGGCCCCGUCUCAUCCAAACUGAAUAGUCUACCUAGACAAAUAGGGAUCAACAGCUUUACAACAGACCUUGUAACUCGUGCCUCCUACUUCACCUCAUCAACAGUAUAUCAAAUGACAUGGAGAAUCUGUAACAAAGCAUGUUGAGUACUUUAUUACACAUGUUUGGUUAUAUGUGACUAACUUGGCCUUUCAGAAUCAGGACAUGAGUGAAGAUGAAGAGGCAUCGUUGGUAACAUGAGGUGAAUUAUACAAACAGAGUGGUUUCUGACAGAUUGGAAUGGACGCUGGGAUGGGUGGAGACUCCACCUCUGGAGCCGUAAGGGAUGCGGGACAAGUGGGGCUCUGCCCCCAGAGCAAGACAUGGUGCCGGGACAGGUGGGGCUCUGCCCCCAGAGCAGGUCAUGGUGCCGGGACAGGUGGGGCUCUGCCCCCAGAGCAGGUCAUGGUGCCGGGACAGGUGGAGUCUCCGCCCCAGGAGCAGGAUGAGGCAAAGGGAUGGAGGGUGGAAGCUCCACCCCCGAAUCAGUACAGAGUGUCGAAGCAGGAGGCCGCUCCACCCUCGAAUCCAUACAGGGAGCCGGAGUGAGAGGAAUCCUUUAUGUGAAGUAGUGUACUGGCCAGUACAAAUUGAAAAUUACAUCUUAAAUAGUUAUUUAUAAUUGAAAUAAACAAUGUAAGUUACUUAUCUCUCACUCAUUGAUACUUUGGACUUGUGUCUGAGGUGUUGCCUGGGAU